rnacentral:sRNA from 1 species
UUUGUGAUAAAGAUUUUUUUUAAUUUAUAAAAUUUUAAUGUUCUUAAAUUUUGUUGAACUAUAUAUCAAAUGUACUAAGGAUAUGAUCACCAUUAUUUUUGUUGAACAAGAGUUUCAUCAGUUUUUAUUCAAUUGUAAUGUAUUUUGGGGUGGUUUUUUUUGUGGUUUUGUUAAUUGUUCUUUUCUUUGUGAUUUUUAUACUCUGUAUGUUUAACUUCUCUUCACUUCAUCAUUAACAGAACUCACUAUUGAUAUUGCAAUCUCUUAAGGAGGGAAAAACAUAAUUUAUGAUUUGUCCUUUAUGGUGAAUUAGUUAUUGGUUUUAUACAUGAAGUCUUGUGUAUUAUCUUCCACAAUGAAUACAUGUUUCCAUUCAGUUAAUUUUUCAUCAACAACUGCUAUUGAACAGUCAAUAGAGGAAUUACAAAGACUGUAAUUGCAAUUAGCUUUAGUUCAUUUAGGAAAGAGCAUACAUAUGUAGAUCAAAUGUCUUUUCAUGUAUGCACGCUUGUUAUUAAAGCAUGUACGUUUAAAUUAGAUUUUUCAUUUGAACUAGCUGUUUCUAAAUCUUGAUGAUCAAGUUUUAGGGUGAAACUUAAUUUAAUGAAUAAUUCAAAAAUUAAUUAUCAAGUACUAAAUUUUUUUCAGUGUUGUUUUCAAGUAAAGAAUAAAACAAUGAAAAUAUUCAGGGCUAUUACAUGUACAUAAUUUAUACUUGAUGUUAAACUGACUGCACAAUUGAAACGUGAAUUCAUACUUGUCUGUAAAAAGGCUUUGUUUUGAUGCAAUUUGAUGUAAAUAAACUUGCACUACUAAAAAUAAACAAAGUAAUCAUU